UUAACCCUGGGGCGCAAUCCAGCUGCUUCCCACCCUGAGCCGAUAAUACUAAGACUUUGGCGUCUUCUUGUUAAAGGUGUGUGAAUUCGUUUUUACGAAAUUCCCUAAUUUUAACACCGAUGCCUAACUUGAACACACUGGUUCAAGGAGUCAUGAACGGCAGAUACGCUUUCGGGGCCUUA
rnacentral:other from 1 species